rnacentral:lncRNA from 1 species
GUCCGUGUGCCCAUUGUACGACUGCUGGGUACAAAUUCUUAGGGAGGCAGAAAUUGAGGUUGUUGGAGUACACUCCAUCCUUCAGAACUGCCCCUUUCUGUUUCCACUUCUGUAUUUCUUCAGGGGCAACUGUUGGCAGGAUUUUCAGGUCAGUUGGAAGAGUCUGCAGAGUAAAUAUGGGAGUUUCUUCAUUUCCGGACACUCUUCUUUCCACUUCCUGUGGUUCUCUUGCAGCUUGUUUUGCAGCCUGAUCAGCUAGAUGGUUGCCCUUUGCUUCAUCUGAG